AGUUUGAUCAUGGCUCAGGAUGAACGCUGGCGGCGUGCUUAACACAUGCAAGUCGAACGGUGAAAGCGGAGCUUGCUCUGCUGGAUCAGUGGCGAACGGGUGAGUAACACGUGAGCAAUCUGCCCCUGACUCUGGGAUAAGCGCUGGAAACGGCGUCUAAUACUGGAUACGAGCUGCGAAGGCAUCUUCAGCAGCUGGAAAGAAUUUCGGUCAGGGAUGAGCUCGCGGCCUAUCAGCUUGUUGGUGAGGUAAUGGCUCACCAAGGCGUCGACGGGUAGCCGGCCUGAGAGGGUGACCGGCCACACUGGGACUGAGACACGGCCCAGACUCCUACGGGAGGCAGCAGUGGGGAAUAUUGCACAAUGGGCGCAAGCCUGAUGCAGCAACGCCGCGUGAGGGACGACGGCCUUCGGGUUGUAAACCUCUUUAGCAGGGAAGAAGGAAACGAAAGUGACGGUACCUGCAGAAAAAGCACCGGCUAACUACGUGCCAGC
rnacentral:rRNA from 1 species